ACCUCCCACCCGUGUCUAUCGUACCUUGUUGCUUCGGCGGGCCCGCCGUUUCGACGGCCGCCGGGGAGGCCUUGCGCCCCCGGGCCCGCGCCCGCCGAAGACCCCAACAUGAACGCUGUUCUGAAAGUAUGCAGUCUGAGUUGAUUAUCGUAAUCAGUUAAAACUUUCAACAACGGAUCUCUUGGUUCCGGCAUCGAUGAAGAACGCAGCGAAAUGCGAUAAGUAAUGUGAAUUGCAGAAUUCAGUGAAUCAUCGAGUCUUUGAACGCACAUUGCGCCCCCUGGUAUUCCGGGGGGCAUGCCUGUCCGAGCGUCAUUGCUGCCCUCAAGCACGGCUUGUGUGUUGGGCCCCCGUCCCCCUCUCCCGGGGGACGGGCCCGAAAGGCAGCGGCGGCACCGCGUCCGGUCCUCGAGCGUAUGGGGCUUUGUCACCUGCUCUGUAGGCCCGGCCGGCGCCAGCCGACACCCAACUUUAUUUUUCUAAGGUUGACCUCGGAUCAGGUAGGGAUACCCGCUGAACUUAAGCAUAUCAAUAAGCGGAGGAAAAGAAACCAACAGGGAUUGCCUCAGUAACGGCGAGUGAAGCGGCAAGAGCUCAAAUUUGAAAGCUGGCCCCUUCGGGGUCCGCGUUGUAAUUUGCAGAGGAUGCUUCGGGUGCAGCCCCCGUCUAAGUGCCCUGGAACGGGCCGUCAUAGAGGGUGAGAAUCCCGUCUGGGACGGGGUGUCUGCGUCCGUGUGAAGCUCCUUCGACGAGUCGAGUUGUUUGGGAAUGCAGCUCUAAAUGGGUGGUAAAUUUCAUCUAAAGCUAAAUACUGGCCGGAGACCGAUAGCGCACAAGUAGAGUGAUCGAAAGAUGAAAAGCACUUUGAAAAGAGAGUUAAACAGCACGUGAAAUUGUUGAAAGGGAAGCGUUUGCGACCAGACUCGCCCGCGGGGUUCAGCCGGCAUUCGUGCCGGUGUACUUCCCCGUGGGCGGGCCAGCGUCGGUUUGGGCGGCCGGUCAAAGGCCCUCGGAAUGUAUCACCUCUCGGGGUGUCUUAUAGCCGAGGGUGCAAUGCGGCCUGCCUGGACCGAGGAACGCGCUUC
rnacentral:sRNA from 1 species